rnacentral:rRNA from 1 species
UGGGGAAUUUUGGACAAUGGGCGAAAGCCUGAUCCAGCAAUGCCGCGUGUGUGAAGAAGGCCUUCGGGUUGUAAAGCACUUUUGUCCGGAAAGAAAUCCUUGGCUCUAAUACAGUCGGGGGAUGACGGUACCGGAAGAAUAAGCACCGGCUAACUACGUGCCAGCAGCCGCGGUAAUACGUAGGGUGCAAGCGUUAAUCGGAAUUACUGGGCGUAAAGCGUGCGCAGGCGGUUUGCUAAGACCGAUGUGAAAUCCCCGGGCUCAACCUGGGAACUGCAUUGGUGACUGGCAGGCUAGAGUAUGGCAGAGGGGGGUAGAAUUCCACGUGUAGCAGUGAAAUGCGUAGAGAUGUGGAGGAAUACCGAUGGCGAAGGCAGCCCCCUGGGCCAAUACUGACGCUCAUGCACGAAAGCGUGGGGAGCAAACAGGAUUAGAUACCCUGGUAGUCCACGCCCUAAACGAUGUCAACUAGUUGUUGGGGAUUCAUUUCCUUAGUAACGUAGCUAACGCGUGAAGUUGACCGCCUGGGGAGUACGUCGCAAGAUUAAAACUCAAGGAAUUGACGGGGUCAUAGCUGUUUCCU